CUUUAUUUGUGUGGAAGAGCUUGCUUGAUAACUUUAAUUAGCUAGCUUGCUAACUGUACCUGCUCUCACUGAUUUAGUCAACAGAGCGUGUGUAACGUUCGUGAAGACGGCACCGAAAUGAAGCACCGUAACAUGUGUUGCAAUUCAGUCUGGCAGUAUGCAAUGGCAGCACAACACGCAGGCUGCCACAGGAUGAGGAUGCUGAUGCCUUCCUCAGGUAGGCCUCGUCCUUGGAGUGGCUCUUGGCGAAGGCGGAGAGCAGGAGGCCCACGGCCAUCAGGAUCCCUCCCGCGCAGAAGAGCGCCGCCCCGGCCAGCUUGCUGAGGUGGAGCCCCUGGUUGAAGCGCACGGCUUGGCUAUCCACGAACACCAUCUCCCCCUCCCCGAAGGCUUCUAUUUUGGACGGCACGGCAUAGCCCACGGUGCAGAAGAGAUUGAGCAACCAUAGUGCCGGUCCCUCAGUUUAACAGACACAUAUGACUCGGCCUUCCCAGAAUUCCACGCAGCCCGACACCAGAAGAUCACCCCACCUUCCAGAGGACAGAGCUCCACCUG